GCGGCGAACCGAGGCACAGACUUACCCAAGGUCACCAAAGCUGGCAGAGCUCCUAGCUACCUGCACGGUCGUGUCUCUGCGCCCUCCCAGCUCGACGCCUUCGGCGGCCGCUCGCUCCGGGGAUGCCUGGGCGAUCCGGGGCCAGCCUGGGAGGUCCAGGGGGACGGUAGCUGGCUGGGACUCGACUCGGGAGCCGCCUCCGUCGCCCCCGGCGCGGGAGCUGAGUGACAACCGGGCUCCGCACACCGGGAGGGGGCGGGGGCGGCGGCGGCACCCGCGGGCCCCUCCCUCCUCGCCCUCCGUCUCCUCCCCCACCCCCUCCUCUAAACAAAGGAAGUGAUUCUGGGUGAGAAAAGCUGGGAAAAUGUGAGAUUUUCGCAGGGUCUGGUGUGUGAAUCCAGUCUCGGGAGUGGACAGAGGUGCAGCCUCCAUGUGUUCACCGGUUCCCUUCUCCAUGUGGGAUGCCCGGAGCCCUGGUCUGGCCUCCGGCGGCACCCCUGCACCCGACACCGCACAACCUCUCACCUGCAGGGCUCCGGGAUGUCCCCCACCCCACCCCCACCUCCCCCAACAGUCAGCUGGAAGCUCUACACGCUGUCCCACCCUUCAAUCCUGAAACCCUGCUCUCCCAUGAAGCCAGCCCCUGCAUAGUCUCAGGAACUAACAUCCUUCCAGAGCACAUCACUUUGCAGGCUCUACCCUGAGUCAUUAUAUUUCUUCCUCCUC
rnacentral:lncRNA from 1 species